rnacentral:lncRNA from 1 species
GACUCACGUGGGGAGCUCUAGACUCAUCUGGCCCCGUGGAAACCAGCAUCAGUGUUGUUUACAAGCUCCCCAGGUGAUGCUAAUGUGCAGCCUGGAGUGAGAGCCAUGGACCGAGACCUCUUCCCACUUCCUCCAUGGAAUUUUUCUUGCAGUCUGUUCUUGCAACCCACAGGCCCCCUUCCCUCACAACCCCAAAGGAAAGAUGAGUUUCCAUUAAGACAAGACCUUAGCUUUAACUUGAUGUCUUAAGCAGAUGGUGGCAGACCUAAUUCACAGUGUCAGCGGGGUCCUGAAUUUCUAUUCCAGCCCUUACGGCCAACUGGCAGCCUGGACCUGAGUGAGUGACAGAUGUCUCCUGAGCAGGACAGACAGACUUCGCAGAUUCCUUGAGGAUAGGAAUUAUGUCUUGUACUCAUUGCCCAACUGCAAGCCACCCACUCCUGGCAUUUUGGAACCGAUCCGUAAAUCACUGGGGGCUCAUCCUAAAUGUGCUUUACACCAGGCAAAGCCUGCCGGAGGGGAUGCUGGAGAAAAUGGUCAUGUGGAACCUUCCAGCUGGUCCGACUGGUCAUUGUGUCUGCUCCAAGAAAGUGUGAAAGCGUCACUUCCUGGUAAGUGGCCUUCCUUUGUGAGGAGCAUAACUCAUCUUUUCUCAGUCCCAGGGGCACAAGCAGACCUGGUGAGAGACUGCGUUGCUGCACUGUGACUGUGGUCCCAGGAGGGGAGGAGCCAAAGUCCCAGCCAGGGUGCCCCCCCCCCCCCCCCCCCCCCCCCCCCCCCCGCAGUAUCCUGCUGUGGCCUUUGCACAGACCCUGGGUUAUGUGGCAUAUACUCUGGCCAGGCUAGAAGCUGGGACAUCUUGGCCAACUUCUGAGCUUGAGCCCAAACCUGGGAGGCCCUUCCUCCAUGGAGCACAAAGGUGAGACCUGUGGCCAGUGGCACUGACUCCUCACCGGCACCAGGACCAGACUUCCUAUCUGUGCACUCUAGACUCCAAAACAGGGCUCUCUUGGGUCCCAUCUCCCUUGUCCACUUCUCUCAAGCAGACGGCCCUGGGAAGACUCUAUAUGUACCUACUCCCCGUGAACCCUACGCCCCUGCAUGGGAUGUCCUUCCUGCUCCUCUCUGAGCCAAACCCAACCCCCUUCCCAGUUCUUUCCAUCAACUCUCUCUCAGGCUUGGCAGCUGUGGACCAGUCUGUAGGGAAAUGUCUGUAGGGCAAGGGUGAAUUUGGGGCCAAACUUCCUGCUCAGGAUCAUGGACUUUGGCGACAGACACACCUGGGAUCAAGAGCCAGUUCUUCCAUUCACUGACCAAGUGACCUUAGGCAGGAAUUCCUCUUUUCUAGCCCAAGUUUUAUCUGUAAAAUGGGGGUAAUAGCAGUCUCACAGGAUUGUGGAGAGAAUUAAGAGAUGCCAAAUGUAAAUAAAGUCUUGGGCCCGUAGCCAGCCCUUAGUAAGUGGAAAGCAUUUUAAUGCCAAGUCAUUGGCUCAUUGGUACUUCUGAGUGUCUGUGUGCCCAGGCCUCCGGCUGCUCAGGACUCCCCAGGAUGCAGGGGUGUCACUGGCACCCUGGCUCUCCUGGCACCACUCCAUGGAAGUACGUGGGGAUUGUGGUGUGAUGCUCAGCCAGGAGGCUGCACUCUGCACGCCCAUUUCAGGGAGGCUGGGAAGGGAGGCAGUGUGGGUUUAGAAGUCAGGCAGACCUGGCUUCCCAUGCCGUGCCAGUGUCUAACCUCAGUCCCCUGUAAACGCCGGUUGGAUGUUGCGUGAGCCUCGGUCCCCUGAUCUAUGAAAUGGGUGCUGGUGUGGACACCGAAUGAGUGAGCUGGUAGAACACCUAGUGAUUAGGAGCCCAGCCAGGUUCUAGAGCCAGGCUGCCUGGGUUCAGAUCCCCCCUCUGCCACUUUCUAGCUCUGCAGUUUUGAACAAGCUGCAUCAUCUCUUGGUUUGAGUUACUCUAAUGAAAAGUAGGGAUAAUAAUAUCUAUCUCCUAAUGCUGCCA